rnacentral:misc_RNA from 2 species
AACGCACAUUGCGCCCUUUGGUAUUCCAAAGGGCAUGCUUGUUCGAGCGUCAUUUGUACCCUCAAGCUCUGCUUGGUGUUGGGUGUUUGUCCUUUCCCUGCGUCAGGACUCGCCUCAAAUUCAUUGGCAGCCGAUGUAUUGGUUUGAAGCGCAGCACAAUUUUGCGAUUCAGGCUGGUAACCAUGGGCGUCCAGUAAGCACAUUUUAACACUUUUGACCUCGGAUCAAGUAGGGAUACCCGCUGAACUUAA